AGGAAGGGAGGGUCAGUCUGUUCCUUAGCUUAAGAAAGCGGAGCUUGAGCUGAGAGAAUCCCAGAGACACGCCAACGCAGAGCUCUUUCUUCACCCACAGGGUCGGUCACCAUGUUGCACCCCAUCAUGAUCGGCAUUGUGACUCUGAACACGUCUAUCACCAUCAUCUACUGGGCCUUCAUUCUCAUAGAGGCCUUCCACAAGAAGGUUGAGGAUGAACCCAAGAAAGACAACCCUGCUUAAACGGAUCGCCCGUCCCCCAACUCUGUAAAUCUGUAGACUUCUGUUGUUAGAGUAGAUUGUUUGUAGUGCUUCCAUGAUACACCUGGGCCAAAGAAAACGAUUUUUACAUAUAACAGCUCUUCAGUCUUACAUUUUUGUCAAGGGAUUAUGAAAGCCCCAAGAAUUAAUCUGCAGGUCUUUUUGUCAGUAUCCAGACAUCGGACGAGACAACAGCUGUCACGUAACAGGAAAGAAAUACAUUAUCAAAACCCCCUGGAUCUUGGGAAGAGGUGCACAAGGAAUGGGAGAGCACAUGGAAAGAUUACUUAUCAUUACCAAGCCAAGGAGGAUCACCGACUAAGAUUGGGCACUUGGAUCAACCCCUGUUCAGCGCAAUGUGUAUGAGCUGCUGGGAGAGAAGGAGCAGAUUGGCAGUGGGAGGGAGACCAGCACACAAGAGGAGAACCAGCGAGGGACGCUGCCAGGACUUCAGCUCGAGUUGUGAAUCUGGACCUAAAGAAAGAAAAAUCUCUACACAGUCAUUGCACUAACUUUGCCCUUAACGUUUCACCCAGAACCUCCAAGAAAACAUCCACUUGAAUUAGUGUUUAUUUUUCAUAAAUAAAUAAAUAAAUAGCAUUUACAUUUUAUUUAUUUGUCAAUACCCUUGUGCAUUCUAGUAUUCAUGAUUUCAUGAACCCCGACCAGUAGACCACGGCUGAAGUGCCCUUGAGCAAGGCAUCUAACCCCUCACUGCUCCCCGAG